rnacentral:tRNA from 1 species
GGGCAAUUAGCUCAGUUGGUUAGAGCAUUCGGCUUACAUCCGAAAGGUCGAGGGUUCGAGUCCUUCAUUGCCCACCA